rnacentral:rRNA from 1 species
AUUGAACGCUGGCGGCAUGCCUUACACAUGCAAGUCGAACGGUAGAGGGCUUCGGCCCUUGAGAGUGGCGAACGGGUGAGUAGAGCAUCGGAACGUACCCUGUCGAGGGGGAUAACGUAGCGAAAGUUACGCUAAUACCGCAUGAGACCUUAGGGUGAAAGUGGGGGACUGGAAACGGCCUCACGCGAUGGGAGCGGCCGAUGUCGGAUUAGCUAGUUGGUGGGGUAAAGGCCUACCAAGGCGACGAUCCGUAGCGGGUCUGAGAGGAUGAUCCGCCACACUGGGACUGAGACACGGCCCAGACUCCUACGGGAGGCAGCAGUGGGGAAUUUUGGACAAUGGGCGCAAGCCUGAUCCAGCCAUGCCGCGUGGGUGAAGAAGGCCUCGGUUGUAAGCCUUCGCGGAGAAAUACGUGCGGGCGAACAGUCUGCAUGGAUGACGGUACCGGAAGAAGAAG